GAGGGAGAGAGAGGGAGAGAGAGAGAAAAGAAAAGCAAAAAAGAUGUAGAGAGCAAAACAAUGCGGGAGAUCUGGGCUGCAGCGGCAGAGCGGCUCCGGGAGCUGCUGGCCGCCCGCUCCGCACGGGCACGGCAGGGACAGGGAUAGGGCGGGGGGCACGGCCGCCCGCAGCCCUGAGUGCCGCCGCGGGAGCCACAGCUGUGGACUGGUGUACAUGUGGCUCUUCAUUCCCUUGUGAAAUCCACGAGAGAGGACUGCUGUCUUGUCACACAUUGGAUCCAUUGCUUUCAUGAGUUCUAGGUGAAGGCAGUCGUGAAGCACACACAUCCUACAGAAUGACCACGAUAUGGACUGCAGUUCUUCACACUGACAGCGUGAGAAGAAAGAAGAAACAGUGACGAAUUCACCCUGUGUAUUAAGGACCUCUACCACCUCCUCCCGUUAACCCCCACCUUACAUCCUUGUCCUGCACCUCUGGAAGCUCAUUUGUUAGUGCAAUGUCAUGUGUUCUCUUUAGUGCCUCAACUCAGGGUGCUGGUUGGAGGCAGCUGGGUGCUCCCUCCGUAUAAUAUGUGUCCUAGCCCAGGCUGAGGGGGCAAACCUGCUCCCUCUGGACUCUGUAUCCAGGUAAGCAGAAUGGCAAAACGUUUGUUGUAAAAGUUUGUGAAGAAUUGCUGCAGGGUUAUUCGGAGCGGGCUACUGAUAGGACUGUGAAUGGGAACAAAAAACCUCACUGACAACUGACACAGCACAAGAGUUAAUCAUCUUGAAUCAUAAUAAUUUGUCAUCGAAAAAAAAAAAAGAAAACAACCCACUGAGAUCAAAGGCAAUUUUAGAGGAGUGAUUAUUUUGACAGAAGUGGCAUGUGGAGCUGUGCAUAUUACAGCAGGCAGCACGGGAGGUGCCAGCCUAUGGGAAAUGUGCACGCAGCUAUCAGAAGGGCAUGCGGUAAAAGGUAAAACAUUCAGAUGAACUUUUCAGCCAAAUGGUAGACAGUAUUGCAGCUGAUGGCAAGUGUUUGCCUGACAGAAAAGUAGUAUGUGCUACUUCAUGUUGGACAGUGAUGCCCAAACCAAUGCAGUACAACAGUCUAAGUCAUUCACAGUGACAGCAAAGCCAAAGGAAGAAGACAGAAGCCCAUUACUGGGUAAAAGUACGUCCAUUCCACAGCUUCCUCAGGAGAAUGUCUUCAUCAGGGAAGCAAAGGAGAAAAACAGCUUAAGAAAAAUCUCAGGAUUUUCCAUAGCAUAGUGACAAAUUGCACCUUUUCCAGUUUGUUAGCUAUUAUAUAUAUCUCCAGGAGGGAAAGGAUCAGUGGUACAUACUUAUCUUUCUCCAUUCACCCUAGGAUGAAGGUCUGUAGAAAAGUACAUGUGCCUUUUGGCACAAGGUGGCUGGUGCUGUAUAUUCCCUGCAUCUGUUGCUGGUAUAGAGGAAAAAUUCACAUGGGAUUUUGUUAAAAAGGAAUGGAGAGGUGGUUUACCCUGUGUUGAAUAAACAUACUGAGAAGAACAUGGGAUGGUUAGCUAGGCAUGGAUAAACCCUCGAGAAAGGCAUGAAGAUGUUCUGCAUUGCCUGAAAAUGACAAGUGACACGGGAAAAUCUCAGACUCAUCACAGGUGCCACAAUGAAACUAAGUCAAGCAAAACCUCAGGAGACAAAGGUUCCUCAAAAGCAAAGCAUGCUUUGCUUUACAUAGGCUGGAAAAACAAAACCACGUACCCUAUGCUAUUUUUUUUCCUUUGCUGAGCUAGCCUAAAUAGAAGAUAUUACAGAUGAGUGUAUGUGUCAAAAGCAUUGGAUAAGUUGGGAUGCAGCUGACAUAACUGUAAGUGACAGCGACAUUAUUUAGUUUAAGUAGUUUGCAGUUAAGUAUAGACUUAGACAUAAUCUUGCCAAUGGAACAGUUCCCACCCUAAUAUGUGAGUAAGAAAUGGUGCCAGAUUAAUAAAGAGUUUAUUGAACAGAAGCCAGAGCCAGAGCCUGAUCCACAUUUAGAACAACUGAGUUCAAGAGCAGCAUCGGUGAUGCAUGGAGCUGUCACCUGAGGAUGUUUUUUCCUAUGGAAAACUGAAAUUCAGACUAACUGCAUUAUGAGACACCAGAGACCUGUAGAAAUGGAGGGUGAGAUAGCAAGGCAAACUCCUCGGUUGAACUCAUUGUUCUCAAAUCCAUCUCCUCCGAGAAUAAGGGUCAGAGCCGAUACCAAACUUCAUGGGGAUUUUGAGCCUCUUGGCAGUUACAAAUGUGUGAUUUUAAGAGUAACUGCUGUGUAAGUAAUUCUUUCAUGUGUUUGCUGCAACGUGCACUCCAUGCCCACUGCAGACCGUCACCACGUACUGAUGGUAACCCCCAUCCCAGUCCAUUCUUUUGACUUUAGCACCUGUGAAAGACGCAAGGACUUUCUUUACGUUGCGGAAAUAGGGUCAGUCACAUCUGUGGUGCCAACUUGUAGCGCACACCGCCUCAGGGCCCUGUCAGGUAUUGCAUCUAUGCAGUACAAAAGUAGUUUGUGCGUUCAGAGCGCUGCUUUAAACACAGCAGGUCUUGUUAGUGCUGAAGCGUCAUCUCAGAGGGACUUUUACAUGUUAUAAACAGUUCGCUGGAAGAUUAAGAAAAUGGCGUGACAUUGUCUGGAUCAUAAGUAUUUUUAUUUUAUGGAAUAUCCAACUGUAAGCACAUUUUUGGCAGGCAAAAUAUACGAAAUCUAAGCAGAUGCAGGAAGAUACUCUAAAUAGUAACGGUGGUCGGCUUUCAUAGCCUCUGCCACAGAGUCCCAGCAGAAGGCGGACUGGACAGAGGCCGUGCCGACCUGAAGGGAGGUUUUGCUUUCACUGAAAGGCGAAACGCCUCUGCAGAAGCCGAGGCCGCGGCGCCGCGCGCCAUGCCCGCAGCCAGGCGGCCGUUGCGCCGCGCCGCCGCUGGGUGUCGCCCACGGUGGGGCCGCGGCGCGGAGGCGGGGCGCGUGGCGCUGCACAAAAUGAGCGGCGCCGUUGUUGUGGCCGUCGCCAUCUUGGCUCGCCGCCUCCCUCGGCGUGGGGCGGGGGGAGGCGGGGGAAGCUGCCGCCCUAAGGCGAGGUUUAACCCUCGGGAGGCCGCCGUCGCUGCCGUGUGCCAGGACGCGUCUUGUCCUUUAACGGCGCACACGGCGGCGUAGGAACGCCGUCACGGGCAGGGUGGGCGGCUGAGGGAAAGCCUCGCCCACGGCUUUGCAUGCGAGGAGGAGCCGUGCAACGGCAGUGGCGAGCGGGGCUGCGCGCGUUUGAAGAGCAGUUGAUGCCACAAAGGAAUGCGGCGUGCGGAGCGUGCUUUGGGCUUUGCGAGCACCUGAUACAAUUUGCUGGAAAAUUGAAUUUGGGGGCACAGUGAAAAUCAAAUCAGGGACAGAAAAGUGAUAAGAAUGCUGAGCAAGGGCUUGUCCUAGGAAUCACAGAUGAAGACUGAUUUUGCAGCUGUGGGAAUGGCAGAGCGCUCCCAGCUGCCUGGAAACCAAAAUCAAGAGAUGUGGAGAAUGCAGUAUCGUCUUGGUUGAUCGUUGUACAGUAAAAGGCUGUAGUUUAGUUCAAGCAGCAUUUUGGAGGCAGGCUCUCACCUUUCCUGCAUGGGAUUUUCCCUUAAGAUGGUGCCACCCUUAGAGGCCAGGAACGGGAAUUCUCCUUGCAUUAACACCCUCCUCCUUCUACAAACUGAGGCAAAAACCAUGACAACAGUGCAGCCCUGGUUUGUGCCCUGGAGGGUAUUUGCCCAGCCACAACUGUCGCCAGCCGGGUGCCACAGAUUAGGUAUGAGUUCGACAGAGAGCUGUUCUUCUUUGGAGUGUUAAUUCUGUCUUCAUUUGUGAAUUUAUGCAUAAGAGAAAGAAAACAUGAACAGCACCAACGUGAUCAUUCACCCAAGAGAUGUCCAUCCUGAAUCAAAGCAAACUGUGGCAGGUAAAAUCCAGCCUUUCAUUUCUGUUGGAAUGCAGCUGGCCAGCCUCCCUUACCCUCCGAGCCACCUUAGAGGGUAAAGGGGCUAUGAACUUUGCAGAGGUUCACAAGUGGCACCCGACAUCCCACCAGUCUGCUGCAAGCACAAUGCUUUUAUUUUGAGACGAAGAGAUGAAGUCUGGGAAUCUACUGCGUGCCAAAGUCUUCCUGGAGAAUAUGGAGCUCCCUCAAAAUUGAGCUGGUGUGAAACUGCUCUGAGCCUAUAGGUGCCUGCAAUACGACAAGUGCCUGCUGUACCACCACUCUCAUCUCUGAAACCAGUUUCUUCAUCGCCCCACCAUCGACACAGAUGUUGCUGUAGUCAGGCAACAGAAUGCCAAUGCAGCACCCUGGGAACAGAGGAGCAGUUGUUUUCACCACAGCUUUCCCAUUUGGUUUAGCUCUGUCAGGCAAGGAAAGCACCUGCCUCUUUCCAACAAGAACUUACUCAGCUUGAGCAUCUCCAUAUGAAACAAUUAAUGGAACAGAAAGGCAGUGAGAAGAAAUCCACCAAGGUGUUACUCCCCUACUACUGCUUAAUCCACAAAACCUCCAACUCUGCCUGCAGAGGAUGCCUAAAAACAAGAGCCUGAGAAACCUGGAGGUUUUCAGCACCGUUCAUUACACUACAGUUAUCAGCCCUGAAUACAACCCAGGAAGUAUUCCACAGAUGUUAUAUAGCAUUUAAUUUAAAUAUGUAAAAAACUCACUGAAUUACAGAGAAAAAAAUAGCAUUUUGCAAUUGGCAUCAACGAGUGGAAGCAAAAGACAUCCGACAAAGGCCAGGUUGUUCCUUUUAUCUCCUGUCCUGUGCUUAGUAAAGAACGCUGCCUAAGAAAUACAAGCUAUAAACAUAUCUUUCUUUGUUUCUUUUUAAGAAAUUAACUGUAUACAGGUGCAAGCUUGUAGACUACGUGAGCUGUGGUGCUCUCUUUGUAAAUAAAGACAAAUAGGAAUAAAAAUGAAUUAUCAAUUAAAAAAAGCCUUACAUAAACUUUCCUUUUAAAAUCUAUAGUGACUUGUUUCUGAAAUUGUAUUGCAGCCACACAUUCAAAUUUCCUCAUCCAUGAAUGUAACGUUAAAGUAAAACAGAAGGUUUCCAUACUUAUACCUGUAUGCACAUUUUUUAAAUAUACUUCUGUAGAUAUACAGGUGGGUUUUUUGUGGAUAUACCAUUUCUGUAGAGAGUAACUUACUGCUUAUUGAAGAAAUAUGGUUGUGUUCCUAAUCUCUGGGAGAGAGCCUGACAACACUGGUCUACAUCUUCAAGCACCUAUCAAAACACACAAGAGAUAAGAUAAUCAUCUUGUCAGGAAAGAACAACAGUAAAUAUAAAUAUAUAUAUACACCUUCUUACUGUACUUGUGCUGACAGAGGGGACAAGGAAUAUACAAUGUUGGAGCAUCAAAAGCUGUUAAAGGUAGCAGCUAAGUGUUAUUUAAUCACGCAUUUAACAUAGAGCCAACUCUAAUUAAGUGCUUUCCAAGAAAUGUUUAACUUAGCUUAAUGAAAGGUACUAACUUACAUAUCAAACUGCUUUCUUUGUUGUUUUUUUUUUAGACUUCUGAGAAGUGAAGCUGCAGUCCUGCAAGGUGUGCCUAUUAAUGCCACAGGAGAGGGGCAGUAAUUAAAAAUGUGUUUUUCAGGACCACCGGCUGAACUAACAUGAACAGAGAUGCACAUGUGGUAAAGCAUCCUUCCUCCCACUCCAUCAGGCUGUACAUCAGUUAAGAUUUAUCACUGCUGAUGACAGAUACCUGACCUCACAUAACUCUUUAAGCACAGAGUUUUGUUGUAACAGUUGUAGUUAAAUAAAGUGUUAUUUCUCUUAAGCCUUAAAUAAAAGAACAGUGGAAAACAGUGGGAAGAAAUAAGCUUCACCCCUCAUACUGACCUGUUCAAGCGACUUGCCAGCCCACCCAAUGGCCUUCAUCUUUCUCCUUAUCUCCCAUUGCUUCUGAUAGGACAAAAUGCGGUUAAGAGGCCAGGGGUAAGGGGAGCCAUACCUCGGGUGAGUAAUCUUUGGUAAGAAACAGAAAGUGACUUUGUUAUCAUAUAAACAAUGCAGACAGCUCUAUUUACAAAACAGCUAGUAGUCUCAUCUUUCUAUCACUGAGAGCAAUAAAGAGAAAGAAUGUUGUGUGAUAUGCUGCAAUUAUUUGUGCAGAAUUUAUUGUUUU